UACGUAGGGGGCCAGCGUUGUCCGGAAUCAUUGGGCGUAAAGAGCGUGUAGGCGGCCCGGUAAGUCCGCUGUGAAAGUCCAGGGCUCAACCCUGGGAUGCCGGUGGAUACUGUCGGGCUCGAGUCCGGAAGAGGAGUGUGGAAUUCCUGGUGUAGCGGUGAAAUGCGCAGAUAUCAGGAAGAACACCAAUGGCGAAGGCAGCUCUCUGGGACGGUACUGACGCUGAGACGCGAAAGCGUGGGGAGCGAACAGG
rnacentral:rRNA from 1 species